rnacentral:rRNA from 1 species
GUACCCGCUGAACUUAAGCAUAUCAAUAAGCGGAGGAAAAGAAACCAACAGGGAUUGCCUUAGUAACGGCGAGUGAAGCGGCAAUAGCUCAAAUUUGAAAGCUGGCGUCUUCGACGUCCGCGUUGUAAUUUGUAGAGGAUGCUUCGGCGAAGACUCCUGCCUAAGUCCCCUGGAACGGGGCGUCAUAGAGGGUGAGAAUCCCGUAUGUGGCGGGCAGUCUAAGCCAUGUGAAGCUCCUUCGACGAGUCGAGUUGUUUGGGAAUGCAGCUCUAAAUGGGAGGUAAAUUUCUUCUAAAGCUAAAUAUUGGCCAGAGACCGAUAGCGCACAAGUAGAGUGAUCGAAAGAUGAAAAGCACUUUGGAAAGAGAGUUAAAAAGUACGUGAAAUUGUUGAAAGGGAAGCGCUUGCAACCAGACUCGCUCGUAGUUGCUCAGCCGGCCUCUUGGCCGGUGCACUCUUCUACGAUCGGGCCAGCAUCAGUUCGGGCGGCAGGAUAAAGGUGUCGGGAAUGUAGCACCCUUCGGGGUGUGUUAUAGCCCGGCGCGGAAUGCUGCCAGCCUGGACUGAGGAUCUCGCUUCGGCAAGGAUGCUGGCGUAAUGGUUGUAAGCGGCCCGUCUUGAAACACGGACCAAGGAGUCUAACAUCUAUGCGAGUGUUUGGGUGUCAAACCCAUGCGCGUAAUGAAAGUGAACGGAGGUGGGAACCCCUCACGGGGUGCACCAUCGACCGAUCCUGAUGUCUUCGGAUGGAUUUGAGUAAGAGCAUAGCUGUUGGGACCCGAAAGAUGGUGAACUAUGCCUGAAUAGGGUGAAGCCAGAGGAAACUCUGGUGGAGGCUCGCAGCGGUUCUGACGUGCAAAUCGAUCGUCAAAUUUGGGUAUAGGGGCGAAAGACUAAUCGAACCAUCUAGUAGCUGGUUCCUGCCGAAGUUUCCCUCAGGAU